GUGUUUACUUCAGCAACACAUGCACUAAAAUUGGAACAAUGCAGAGAAGAUCAGUAUGGUCCCUGAGCAAGGAUGACAUGAAAAUUUGUGAAGUAUUCCCUAAUCUG